rnacentral:misc_RNA from 1 species
AGUUUGGCUGCUGAACUACCUCUCAUGUCGUUGCCUUUCUUAUUCAUGCCUUCAUUCUCUAUGGAUGAUAGUAGAACAGAUGUAAAUAGACAUGUUGGUUCGAGCAUAAUACAAGUUGAAUCAUCUGGUUCAAGGCAAUUGCAAACAGAUGCAAAUGCAGCUGAUAACUAUGAUACUUCAGUUUCUCCCAUGGAGACCUUCCCUGCAGUUCCUUGCAGUUCAUAUUCCAGUAGAGAAGGUACAGUAAUUAAUUCUUUUCCUACUGGAACGAGAAGUGGUGUUGCUGACUCCACAGUAGAUGCCAUGGAGACUGAUGAAAUGCAGCCUUUAGGAGGAAAUUAUACUGACCCAGAAACUUCUGCUGGUGCUAAUAGUACAGUGGAUGGAGUAUCUGGAAAUAUUUCAGUUAAGCAGCAUUCCUCAGAGGUUGGGCAACUUCAUCAAUACUUAUCCACUAGAGAACCAACUUGGUGGGAGCUACGCUUUUUGCAAGGAUGGUUAAUGGGUCAAA